UACGGAGGGUGCUAGCGUUGUUCGGAAUUACUGGGCGUAAAGGGCGCGUAGGCGGCCGUUUGCGUCGGAUGUGAAAGCCCGGGGCUCAACCUCGGAACGGCAUUCGAUACGGGACGGCUGGAGACCGGGAGAGGAGAGUGGAAUAGCCAGUGUAGAGGUGAAAUUCGUAGAUAUUGGCUGGAACACCGGUGGCGAAAGCGGCUCUCUGGCCCGGUUCUGACGCUGAGGCGUGAAAGCGUGGGGAGCAAACAGG
rnacentral:rRNA from 1 species